CACUUUUCCAAUUUUAAGGUUUCGUCGACCCCUACGAUAUGAGUAUUUUGUACGCGUAUCGUUUGGUCGACAAUGUACUCGAAUUUUGAUCCUGAUGGAAGAGGGUCGUCCUUUGAAAGUUGACUGUACGUUGUCAAAGGGUUUCUGCUUCCGGACUCAGUUCCCCAGGCGUAUGAAAUACUGUAGAGACGAAUCCCAAGUUGUUCGUCUUCGACUUGAGUGUCGAAGAGAAAGUG